rnacentral:rRNA from 1 species
AAAGGAGGGGCAAUACCGAAUAUUGUCCGGAACCGUGAAGGGUUUCGGGGAAAGGGAGGCCUCUGACACAAGCUUUCGCCUUAAGAUGAGCCCAUGGCCCAUCAGCUAGUUGGUAGGGUAAAGGCCUACCAAGGCUACGACGGGUCGCUGGUCUGAGAGGACGACCAGCCACACUGGCACUGAGAUACGGGCCAGACUCCUACGGGAGGCAGCAGUGAGGAAUAUUGCGCAAUGGGGGAAACCCUGACGCAGCAACGCCGCGUGUGGGAAGAAGGCCUUCGGGUCGUAAACCACUUUUACUCGGGACGAAAAAGGGAUAUCAAACAAAUAUCCCCGAUGACGGUACCGUGAGAAUAAGCCACGGCUAACUCUGUGCCAGCAGCCGCGGUAAGACAGAGGUGGCAAGCGUUGUUCGGAAUUACUGGGCGUAAAGAGUCUGUAGGUGGUUUGUCAAGUCUUUGGUGAAAGGCCGUAGCUUAACUAUGGGAAUGCCAAAGAGACUGGCAGGCUGGAGGCUGGGAGAGGGAAGCGGAAUUUCUGGUGUAGCGGUGAAAUGCGUAGAUAUCAGAAGGAAGGCCGGUGGCGAAGGCGGCUUCCUGGAACAGUCCUGACACUGAGAGACGAAAGCGUGGGGAGCAAACAGGAUUAGAUACCCUGGUAGUCCACGCCCUAAACGAUGGGUACUAAGUGUGGAGGGGUUAACCCUCCGUGCCGCAGCAAACGCAGUAAGUACCCCGCCUGGGGAGUACGGCCGCAGGUUGAACUCAAAGGAAUUGACGG